rnacentral:rRNA from 1 species
ACAUAUGUCGCAAGCGUUAUCCGGAUUUAUUGGGCGUAAAGCGCGUCUAGGCGGUUUAUUAAGUCUGAUGUGAAAAUGCGGGGCUCAACUCCGUAUUGCGUUGGAAACUGAUAGACUAGAGUACUGGAGAGGUGGGCGGAACUACAAGUGUAGAGGUGGAAUUCGUAGAUAUUUGUAGGAAUGCCGAUGGAGAAGUCAGCUCACUGGACAGAUACUGACGCUAAAGCGCGAAAGCGUGGGGAGCAAACAGGAUUAGAUACCCUGGUAGUCCACGCCGUAAACGAUGAUCACUAGGUGUUGGGAGUCAAAUCUCAGCGCCCAAGCUAACGCGAUAAGUGAUCCGCCUGGGGAGUACGUACGCAAGUAUG